UACACUCCUGCGGGAGGCAGCAGUGGGGAAUUUUGGACAAUGGGCGAAAGCCUGAUCCAGCAAUGCCGCGUGAGUGAAGAAGGCCUUCGGGUUGUAAAGCUCUUUUGUCAGGGAAGAAACGGUGAAAGCUAAUAUCUUUUGCUAAUGACGGUACCUGAAGAAUAAGCACCGGCUAACUACGUGCCAGCAGCCGCGGUAAUACGUAGGGUGCAAGCGUUAAUCGGAAUUACUGGGCGUAAAGCGUGCGCAGGCGGUUUUGUAAGUCUGAUGUGAAAUCCCCGGGCUCAACCUGGGAAUUGCAUUGGAGACUGCAAGGCUAGAAUCUGGCAGAGGGGGGUAGAAUUCCACGUGUAGCAGUGAAAUGCGUAGAUAUGUGGAGGAACACCGAUGGCGAAGGCAGCCCCCUGGGUCAAGAUUGACGCUCAUGCACGAAAGCGUGGGGAGCAAACAGGAUUAGAUACCCUGGUAGUCCCAUGAU
rnacentral:rRNA from 1 species